UAGGCUGGGAAUGCCCGAUCAACUUAAUUUGAGGUAAAGCAACCUCAACACAAGCACAUGGUUGGCACCAAUAAGGGAUAAAAGUGGGCAGAUGAAUUUUGAUCCACACUGACUCUGAAAGUCGUGGGUUCACCAUACCCAUCACCUACGUCCAGUUAAAAGGGAGUACCAAGCCUCUAGGGAGACUAUAGGGAAAAGAGUAUGAAAGGGCUACCUGACUCGACAAAACUCUGAAUCAAGUGUGAAGCCACAUGCCACCCUAAGAGGUGAUAACAAGGGCCAAAAAAACAUAAGCCUGCAAGGAUUAUUAGUUACACAAAGUUGAAGAGCUACCCUCUGAAUACAUUGAAAACAAAAUCCAAGAAGCAAAAUAAAAAGAGAGAAAGAAAAAGGAGACAUAGUCAAAUGUCUCGAAGCUCUCAAUAAUCAAAUGAAAUCAAGGUGUCAAGUGAACGAAGGAGGAGGGUAGCUAUUCAUCGUCCUCGGCAAAAGUAAAGGCAAAAAAAAGAAAUACCAUAACCAGUUUCCCCCAAACCAAUUCUAAAACUAUAGCCGUAUCCUGUAUUCCGUACUGGACAAAGGUAGAAGGUGUGAGGCACAUGACUGAAGGGAGGCUCGGAGAUAAUUUUUCUGACCUAAAGAGGUCCUAAUGAAGUGCUAAUCUCUCAACAUGUAUAUCAUGAGGAAACUAAACCUCAAGUGAAAGUUGUGUCGUUGACCUUUUAUGUCAAAAUACACCCUUGGAUGACGUCGCCGGAAGAUGCUUCAUAGCUUGGUGACUCAUGGGAAAGCCGACAUUUAAAAAAAAAACAUUGUUCUUAUUCUUUGGAAUACAAGAAGAACUCAAUGCAUGUCUAUAUUGACGCCCACCGUGGCUUAUGUGCCAAGAUGGCCCUUCACCCACAAAUUGGCCUAUACGUUAUUUGGCUAAAUUAUAUUUUGGCAGUACACCUACGGAGCUUCGGAUGUAUAUGCUAUUUA
rnacentral:lncRNA from 1 species